CUCGCUCUCUCUCACACACACACACACACCAGGUCAUUGAUUGUAUUUGUCAUUCUUUCUUGUUCAUUGAUUUAAUAGACCUCAUGAAUCAUAUCUCAGUUUAAAACUAAAAGGUCAGAGACCUGCUGCAGGCCUAAAUCAAAGAGAAACUACAGACUCUCUAGGCGAUGCUGCUUAGAGGAAGGAGGAGGGUUUAAGUGCUGCAGUGGAACAGCAACAAUCUCACACCUCUGUGUGGUAUGAUGGGACAAAUAGCUCUUCUGUGGCUGCUCCUUCUGAUGUUUCUGCUUUGCCACACAACAAACCUGUCACGGUCUGGCUGGCAGACCGUGGGGAUAUGGGGAAUGAGGACCCAAGAUGCAGGACUUUGUGAUGAAGGCAGUGCGUUUAUUUACAGUGGUGUAAAUAGUCACAGAAUCAACCCCGUGUUUUCCCCUUGACUUCCGUGUCGUGUCUUCACCCACAAGUCCGUGCUCCGUGCUCUUCUGCUCCGCUGCGUCCCCGCACCCCAUGCUCGUUGCUCUUGUCUUCCCUGCUCCUUCCUGGAGAAAAUAACAAAGAGGCAACUGUUCAGGACACUCGAUUACUGCAGGCAUGCACUCACUGGACUAUACAUUACUCGACACUAACGUGGCGUUUCACACAACGAUCCCACGCUGAGGAGCGCUCAGCCACAGUCUUAAGAAGCUCCCCAACGACGCUCCAUUAGCUGCAGGUGUGUGAGUCAUCAUCUGCUUCAGGUGUGGCCAUCCUCUAGGUAGGGCACGCCCACCAGGCCUACCUGAACCCAGUACUCAGCCACACUCACAGACACACCCACUUGCCUAUACAUACAAGGACGGGAAUACAAGAACAGCAGCAGUGCAGACAACACACAAACAUCACAUAAUAACAGCAAUGAUUAUAAUAGUAGUCCACACUGCCCACGGACCCUAAAUCCCUGGAGCUGGGUCCGUGACAAAACCAAGCUCGUCUGACUGUGAGUCCCAGCAGCUCUCAGGUCUUAAAAGGAGACUUUGUGUCUCUGAGCUGUGAGGAGGACGACAGCUCUGCUGGAUGGACUCUGAGGAGAAACACAAGCAAAGAAACCAGGACUCAGUGUGGAGAGUGGGGAGAAGCAGCUCAUUCUUUCUGUAACAUCUCUGGCUUCCACAAACUGGACAGUGGAGUUUACUGGUGUGAGUCCAGAGAGGGUCCCAUCAGUAACAUGGUUAACCUGACAGUCACUGGAAGCAGCCUACAAGUCACAUGACCAUCCAGCAUGUUUCCAGGUCUGAUGAAGGCCUCUACA